GGCCUCCCUGUGCUUACCACGGGGCCUAUGAUCUCACAGUGCAUGUAUAAAAGGUUAACCUGCCCCAUCUACACCUCAGCCUAGGCCACUGUACCUGCUGUGUAUUGUGAAUGGAGACAUGG
rnacentral:snoRNA from 1 species